AACGAACGCUGGCGGCAUGCCUAACACAUGCAAGUCGAACGAGACCUUCGGGUCUAGUGGCGCACGGGUGCGUAACGCGUGGGAAUCUGCCCCUUGGUUCGGAAUAACUUCGGGAAACUGAAGCUAAUACCGGAUAAUGACGUAAGUCCAAAGAUUUAUCGCUAAGGGAUGAGCCCGCGUAGGAUUAGCUAGUUGGUGGGGUAAAGGCUCACCAAGGCGACGAUCCUUAGCUGGUCUGAGAGGAUGAUCAGCCACACUGGGACUGAGACACGGCCCAGACUCCUACGGGAGGCAGCAGUGGGGAAUAUUGGACAAUGGGCGAAAGCCUGAUCCAGCAAUGCCGCGUGAGUGAUGAAGGCCUUAGGGUUGUAAAGCUCUUUUACCCGGAGAUAAUGACUGUACCGGAGAAUAAGCCCCGGCUAACUCCGUGCCAGCAGCCGCGGUAAU
rnacentral:rRNA from 1 species